rnacentral:misc_RNA from 1 species
UCUCCGUAGGUGAACCUGCGGAGGGAUCAUUACAGAGUUCAUGCCCUACCGGGUAGAUCUCCCACCCUAUGUUAUUAUUACUUUGUUGCUUUGGCGGGCCGUUAGGCUCCGGCCCGACUACCGGCCCCGGCUGGUAAGCGCCCGGCAGAGGACCCAAAACCCUGAAUAUUAGUGUCGUCUGAGUACUAUAUAAUAGUUAAAACUUUCAACAACGGAUCUCUUGGUUCUG